GCAAAUUAAGCUCCUCAUCUCGACGAUUUAAUAUCAUGAACAGUUGUCUCCAGUGAGAGACAACGUGUUUUAAUAACGGUGAUUUACAACCGAACGGCACUUUUUUAAUUUGUGACACUUUGCCAUGUCGAGACAACUCUUUAAUCAAAAACUCAUCACUAAUAAAUGGAGGGACGUUUGACAAUGUUACCUUAGUUGCAGGUAAGGUAAGCGGCGAGACUUGUAAAAACAAACCAUCUACAGAAAUGCCCGUUUCCACUAACUGUUGAGCCUGCUCCACUUUUUCAACAAACAAAACUACAGCUCCAUUCAUUCGCGCUGCUGACUUAAUAAAUCCAUGCCCAAUUACCUCACCCACAGCCAGACAAACGUCUUCCACACUGCACGGAGAACCAGCACCCACCUUGAUGCUGUUCUUCCGUGUCAGCAUGGAGAAAACACCAGAGCCACCACCCACCACCAUGGCGUUCAAGACGCCAACCUGCCGCCGGGCAAAACCCGACGGCCACCAAACCCCACAAACCCUACCAAAAAAAACCUAAAGCACAACAAAACACCUAUAUAUACAAUAUUUACAUACACCCAGUGAAAGAUAGAAAAAAGUAGGGAAAAAAAACACUCAAACAGAUUCAACUCACGCUCUCUCCCUUCUCUUUCACUCACACUCCUCCCACACGAAGAAGAAGAAGAAGAAGAAGAAGAAGAAGAAGAAGAAGAAGAAGAAGAAGUAAAAAAAAACGUGCUGAGCGCUCCGCUCCUGUGUUCAUGUCCUCUUCUGAGCCUGAAGAUGAAAUAAAACCACAACAGCUGUACGCCGUCUUCACAACUCGGAGACAAAUUGCAGGCGCUAUGAACCGGACCAAGGACUAUUCUCGCCUCAUAAUGAGGUGGUGACCUCCUAUUUGCUCGGAGCAAUAGCUGCAAGUCCAGAUUGUUGAUAAAGACGACAUUGUGU